rnacentral:rRNA from 1 species
GAUGAACGCUGGCGGCGUGCCUAAUACAUGCGAGUCGAGCGAACAGACGAGGAGCUUGCUCCUCUGACGUUAGCGGCGGACGGGUGAGUAACACGUGGAUAACCUACCUAUAAGACUGGGAUAACUUCGGGAAACCGGAGCUAUUACCGGAUAAUAUAUUGAACCGCAUGGUUCAAUAGUGAAAGACGGUUUUGCUGUCACUUAUAGAUGGAUCCGCGCCGCAUUAGCUAGUUGGUAAGGUAACGGCUUACCAAGGCAACGAUGCGUAGCCGACCUGAGAGGGUGAUCGGCCACACUGGAACUGAGACACGGUCCAGACUCCUACGGGAGGCAGCAGUAGGGAAUCUUCCGCAAUGGGCGAAAGCCUGACGGAGCAACGCCGCGUGAGUGAUGAAGGUCUUCGGAUCGUAAAACUCUGUUAUUAGGGAAGAACAAAUGUGUAAGUAACUAUGCACGUCUUGACGGUACCUAAUCAGAAAGCCACGGCUAACUACGUG